UACGGGGGGGGCAAGCGUUGUUCGGAAUUACUGGGCGUAAAGGGCUCGUAGGCGGCCAACUAAGUCAGACGUGAAAUCCCUCGGCUUAACCGGGGAACUGCGUCUGAUACUGGAUGGCUUGAGUUUGGGAGAGGGAUGCGGAAUUCCAGGUGUAGCGGUGAAAUGCGUAGAUAUCUGGAGGAACACCGGUGGCGAAGGCGGCAUCCUGGACCAUGACUGACGCUGAGGAGCGAAAGCCAGGGGAGCAAACAGG
rnacentral:rRNA from 1 species